rnacentral:rRNA from 1 species
GGGGGAUAUUGGGCAAUGGGGGAAAACCUGGUCCAGCCCCUCCGCGGGGGUGGAGAAGGGGCUCGGGUUGGUAAGACCUUUUAAGUGGGGGGGAGGGGAGUUAGUUAAAAACCUGGUGGUUUUUCGUUUGCCACAAAAUAAGAACCCGGUAACUUCCUGCCAGCAGCCGCGGUAAAACGAAGGGUGCAAGCGUUAAUCGGAAUUACUGGGCGUAAAGCGCGCGUAGGUGGUUCAGCAAGUUGGAUGUGAAAUCCCCGGGCUCAACCUGGGAACUGCAUCCAAAACUACUGAGCUAGAGUACGGUAGAGGGUGGUGGAAUUUCCUGUGUAGCGGUGAAAUGCGUAGAUAUAGGAAGGAACACCAGUGGCGAAGGCGACCACCUGGACUGAUACUGACACUGAGGUGCGAAAGCGUGGGGAGCAAACA